CGAAAACGUGAAACUAACGAAGUGUCAGAUAUGUACGCGCGCUUUAAAAUCGCAUUGUAAUUAUCCGGAUACGCAUUAUAUGACGCGAUUCGUCAUUUCGGUUGAUGCUGCGGUACUUCGAAUUUAUGCAAAAAAAAUCACCCGUAGCGUCGGUAGCGUUUGAAUCCCUCGCCGUCAGAUGGCGCUAGCGAUCCGCCAUUACGCGCGAACAGCGGAUGUUGCGAUUCGCGGUUGUCAUCGAAGGAGAGCAAGUAUAAAUAGUGAUCAGGACUAUCGAGAGUGCGAAAUUGUGCGAAAUCCGAUUGUUAAAUUUGUUUAAGUUAAUCAGUCGCGUACGCGAGUGUGUGACAGCCGUUUCCAGUUUCCAGGAGAUCGUCUUCGAGCUUUGGAGAGGCAACGGACAGACUUAGGGCAGCAUGCACGAGCCGGUCCGGGAGGUCGACGAUGCAGUUGUAGCAGUUGCAGUUUGGGAACCUUUGCCGUGGUGCAUUGAUCGAUCCAUUCAUCGACAUCGGGAUUUUGCGGAAUCUUCGCCGUAGCGCAUUCGUCGAUGGAUCGACGUCCGGACUCUGCGUACUGUUCACCACAACUUCGUGGCUGAUUGUAAUUCCGCUCGUUGCGCAUCGGAUUGGUG
rnacentral:lncRNA from 13 species